GACGAACGCUGGCGGCGUGCUUAACACAUGCAAGUCGAACGGAAAGGCCCUGCUUUUGUGGGGUGCUCGAGUGGCGAACGGGUGAGUAACACGUGAGUAACCUGCCCUUGACUUUGGGAUAACUUCAGGAAACUGGGGCUAAUACCGGAUAGGAGCUCCUGCUGCAUGGUGGGGGUUGGAAAGUUUCGGCGGUUGGGGAUGGACUCGCGGCUUAUCAGCUUGUUGGUGGGGUAGUGGCUUACCAAGGCUUUGACGGGUAGCCGGCCUGAGAGGGUGACCGGCGACAUUGGGACUGAGGUACGGCCCAGACGCCUACGGGAGGCAGCAGUGGGGAAUAUUGCACAAUGGGCGGAAGCCUGAUGCAGCAACGCCGCGUGCGGGAUGACGGCCUUCGGGUUGUAAACCGCUUUCGCCUGUGACGAAGCGUGAGUGACGGUAAUGGGUAAAGAAGCACCGGCUAACUACGUG
rnacentral:rRNA from 1 species